GGUUAAGUGAAUAAGGGCGCACGGUGGAUGCCUUGGCACUAGGAGCCGAUGAAGGACGGGACUAACACCGAUAUGCUUUGGGGAGCUGUACGUAAGCUAUGAUCCAGAGAUUUCCGAAUGGGGGAACCCAACAUCUUUAAUAGGAUGUUACGAUUGUGUGAAUACAUAGCACAUUCGAGGUAGACGCAGAGAACUGAAACAUCUAAGUACCUGCAGGAAGAGAAAGAAAAUUCGAUUCCCUGAGUAGCGGCGAGCGAAACGGGAAAAGCCCAAACCAGCAAGCUUGCUUGUUGGGGUUGUAGGACUCCAAUAUGGUAGUUCUUUCAGAUAGUCGAAUGACUUGGAAAAGUCAGUCAAAGAGGGUAAAAACCCCGUAGACGAAAUGUGGAAGACACCUAGGAGGAUCCUGAGUACGGCGGAACACGAGAAAUUCCGUCGGAAUCCGGGAGGACCAUCUCCCAAGGCUAAAUACUCCCUAGUGACCGAUAGUGAACCAGUACCGUGAGGGAAAGGUGAAAAGCACCCCGGAAGGGGAGUGAAAUAGAACCUGAAACCGUGUGCCUACAACAAGUCAAAGCCCGUUAAUGGGUGAUGGCGUGCCUUUUGUAGAAUGAACCGGCGAGUUACGAUUGCAUGCGAGGUUAAGUUGAAGAGACGGAGCCGCAGCGAAAGCGAGUCUGAAUAGGGCGUUUGAGUAUGUAGUCGUAGACCCGAAACCAUGUGAUCUACCCAUGUCCAGGUUGAAGGUGCGGUAAAACGCACUGGAGGACCGAACCCACGUACGUUGAAAAGUGCGGGGAUGAGGUGUGGGUAGCGGAGAAAUUCCAAACGAACUUGGAGAUAGCUGGUUCUCUCCGAAAUAGCUUUAGGGCUAGCCUCGGAAUUGAGAAUGAUGGAGGUAGAGCACUGUUUGGACUAGGGGCCCAUCUCGGGUUACCGAAUUCAGAUAAACUCCGAAUGCCAUUCAUUCAUAUCCGGGAGUCAGACUGUGAGUGAUAAGAUCCAUAGUCGAAAGGGAAACAGCCCAGACCACCAGCUAAGGUCCCAAAAUAUAUGUUAAGUGGAAAAGGAUGUGGGGUUGCACAGACAACUAGGAUGUUGGCUUAGAAGCAGCCACCAUUUAAAGAGUGCGUAAUAGCUCACUAGUCGAGUGACCCUGCGCCGAAAAUGUACCGGGGCUAAACAUAUUACCGAAGCUGUGGAGUACACCUUUAGGUGUAUUGGUAGGAGAGCGUUCUAAGGGCGUUGAAGGCAGAUCGUGAGGACUGCUGGAGCGCUUAGAAGUGAGAAUGCCGGUAUGAGUAGCGAAAGACAGGUGAGAAUCCUGUCCACCGAAUGACUAAGGUUUCCUGGGGGAAGGCUCGUCCGCCCAGGGUUAGUCGGGACCUAAGCCGAGGCCGACAGGCGUAGGCGAUGGAUAACAGGUUGAUAUUCCUGUACCCGUUGUUUUUGUUUGAGCAAUGGAGGGACGCAGGAGGCUAAGGAAUGCAGACGAUCGGAAAUGUCUGUCCAAGCAGUAAGUCUGAAGAGGAGUCAAAUGCUUCUUUUCUUAAGGACAAGCUGUGAUGGGGAGGGAAAUAAUAGUACCGAAGUUCCUGAUGUCACACUGCCGAGAAAAGCUUCUAGUGAGAAAACAGCGGCCCGUACCGCAAACCGACACAGGUAGUCGAGGAGAGAAUCCUAAGGUGAGCGAGAGAACUCUCGUUAAGGAACUCGGCAAAAUGACCCCGUAACUUCGGGAGAAGGGGUGCUGAUCAUACGAUCAGCCGCAGUGAAUAGGCCCAAGCGACUGUUUAUCAAAAACACAGGUCUCUGCAAAAUCGUAAGAUGAAGUAUAGGGGCUGACGCCUGCCCGGUGCUGGAAGGUUAAGAGGAGUGCUUAGCGCAAGCGAAGGUACGAAUUGAAGCCCCAGUAAACGGCGGCCGUAACUAUAACGGUCCUAAGGUAGCGAAAUUCCUUGUCGGGUAAGUUCCGACCCGCACGAAAGGCGUAACGAUUUGGGCACUGUCUCAACGAGAGACUCGGUGAAAUUUUAGUACCUGUGAAGAUGCAGGUUACCCGCGACAGGACGGAAAGACCCCAUGGAGCUUUACUGUAGUUUGAUAUUGAGUGUCUGUACCGCAUGUACAGGAUAGGUAGGAGCCGUAGAAAUCGGAACGCUAGUUUCGAUGGAGGCGCUGGUGGGAUACUACCCCUGCGUUAUGGCCACUCUAACCCGCACCACUAAUCGUGGUGGGAGACAGUGUCAGAUGGGCAGUUUGACUGGGGGCGGUCGCCUCCUAAAAGGUAACGGAGGCGCCCAAAGGUUCCCUCAGAAUGGUUGGAAAUCAUUCGAAGAGUGUAAAGGCAGAAGGGAGCUUGACUGCGAGACCAACAAGUCGAGCAGGGACGAAAGUCGGGCUUAGUGAUCCGGUGGUUCCGCAUGGAAGGGCCAUCGCUCAACGGAUAAAAGCUACCCUGGGGAUAACAGGCUUAUCUCCCCCAAGAGUCCACAUCGACGGGGAGGUUUGGCACCUCGAUGUCGGCUCGUCGCAUCCUGGGGCUGUAGUCGGUCCCAAGGGUUGGGCUGUUCGCCCAUUAAAGCGGCACGCGAGCUGGGUUCAGAACGUCGUGAGACAGUUCGGUCCCUAUCCGUCGCGGGCGUUGGAAAUUUGAGAGGAGCUGUCCUUAGUACGAGAGGACCGGGAUGGACUUACCGCUGGUGUACCAGUUGUUCUGCCAAGGGCAUUGCUGGGUAGCUAUGUAGGGAAGGGAUAAACGCUGAAAGCAUCUAAGUGUGAAGCCCACCUCAAGAUGAGAUUUCCCAUUUCUUUAAGAAAGUAAGAUCCCUGAGAGAUGAUCAGGUAGAUAGGUCAGGAGUGGAAGUACAGUGAUGUAUGGAGCGGACUGAUACUAAUCGAUCGAGGACUUAACCAA
rnacentral:rRNA from 1 species